ensembl:lncRNA
CACUUAUAGAGACGCUGCAGCAGAAGAGUGUUUAGAGGCGCACAGAGGCUUUCCAUGAGGCCGAGAGAAGAUGACAUUAAUCUUCAGUACUGUUCUCUGGCAC